CCUACGGGUGGCAGCAGUGGGGAAUAUUGGACAAUGGGCGAAAGCCUGAUCCAGCCAUGCCGCGUGUGUGAAGAAGGCCUUCGGGUUGUAAAGCACUUUCAGUGGGGAAGAAAGCCUUGGGGCUAAUACCCUCGAGGAAGGACAUCACCCACAGAAGAAGCACCGGCUAACUCCGUGCCAGCAGCCGCGGUAAUACGGAGGGUGCGAGCGUUAAUCGGAAUUACUGGGCGUAAAGCGCGCGUAGGCGGUCUGAUAAGCCGGUUGUGAAAGCCCCGGGCUCAACCUGGGAACGGCAUCCGGAACUGUCAGGCUAGAGUGCAGGAGAGGAAGGUAGAAUUCCCGGUGUAGCGGUGAAAUGCGUACAGAUCGGGAGGAAUACCAGUGGCGAAGGCGGCCUUCUGGACUGACACUGACGCUGAGGUGCGAAAGCGUGGGUAGCAAACAGGAUUAGAUACCCUUGUAGUC
rnacentral:rRNA from 1 species